rnacentral:rRNA from 1 species
GAUGAACGCUGGCGGCGUGCUUAACACAUGCAAGUCGAACGGAAAGGCCUCGUUCGGGGGGUACUCGAGUGGCGAACGGGUGAGUAACACGUGAGUAACCUGCCCUUGUCUUUGGGUUAACUUAAGGAAACUGGGCCGAGUUCCGACCGGAAGAUCUUGUGGACCGGAGGGGUCUGUAGAGUUACGGGGUUUGGGGGUGGCUUCGCGGUUUAUCAGCGUGUUGGUGGGGAGUUGGCUUACCAAGGCUUUGCCGGGUCGGCGACCCGUAGGGGUGAGCGGCCACAUUGGGACUGAGAUACGGCCCAGACACCUACGGGAGGCAGCAGUGGGGAAUAUUGCACGAUGGGUGGAAGCCUGAUGCAGAAACGCCGUGGGCGGGAUGACGGCCUUCGGGUUGAAAACCGCAUUCGCACAUAACGAAGCUUUGUGUGCCGGUAGUGGGUAAAGAAGCACCGGCUAACUACGUG